GGCUGGGAGAGAACAGACACAGUGAGGGGAAGUGAUAGAGAGAGAGAGGGGAUGAAAAGAGGCGACAGAGAGAGAGAAGACUUUGAUGAAGAGGGGAAGGGAAAGGUGUGAGGGCGGAGUGGCUGAAGAGGGGUAGGGAAAGGUGUGAGGGCGGAGUGGCUGAAGAGGGGUAGGGAAAGGUGUGAGGGCGGAGUGGCUGAAGAGGGGUAGGGAAAGGUGUGAGGGAGGAGUGGUUGAAGAGGGGUAGGGAAAGGUGUGAGGGCGGAGUGGCUGAAGAGGGGUAGGGAAAGGUGUGAGGGC
ensembl:lncRNA